UUAAAUUGAAGAGUUUGAUCAUGGCUCAGAUUGAACGCUGGCGGCAGGCCUAACACAUGCAAGUCGAACGGUAACAGGAAGCAGCUUGCUGCUUUGCUGACGAGUGGCGGACGGGUGAGUAAUGUCUGGGAAACUGCCUGAUGGAGGGGGAUAACUACUGGAAACGGUGGCUAAUACCGCAUAACGUCGCAAGACCAAAGAGGGGGACCUUCGGGCCUCUUGCCAUCAGAUGUGCCCAGAUGGGAUUAGCUAGUUGGUGAGGUAACGGCUCAC
rnacentral:rRNA from 1 species